rnacentral:rRNA from 1 species
UCAAGCUACUAAGGGCAUACGGCGGAUGCCUAGGCGCCAUCAGCCGAUGAAGGACGCGGUAAGCUGCGAAAAGCUACGGGGAACUGCAAGCAAGUAUUGAUCCGUAGAUGUCCGAAUGGGGAAACCCACCUGCCGUCAUGGGCAGGUAUCCGAAAGGAAGGGAACCCGGGGAACUGAAACAUCUAAGUACCCGGAGGAAGAGAAAUCAAACGAGAUGCCCACAGUAGCGGCGAGCGAAGAGGGCAGAGGGCAAACCGGGGAGCUACGGCUCUUCGGGGUUGAGGACUGCAUUUAGUCUUAAUGGUCUAUCCGAACUACCUGGAAAGGUAGGCAACACAGUGUAAAAGCCACGUAGGUUAAAGGCCAGAGAGAUGAGCAGUAUCCAGAGUACCACGAGGCACGAGGAAUCUUGUGGGAAGCCGGGGGGACCACCCUCCAACCCUAAACACUGAAUGGCGACCGAUAGCGCAUAGUACCGUGAGGGAAAGGUGAAAAGAACCCCGGGAGGGGAGUGAAAGAGAACCUGAAACCGUAUGUCUACAAGCAGUCGGAGCGAAAGCGACGGCGUGCCUAUUGAAGAAUGAACCAACGAGUUACGUGCACUAGCGAGGUUAAGUGGAAGACACGGAGCCGAAGCGAAAGCGAGUCUUAAGAGGGCGAAUAGUUAGUGUACGUAGACCCGAAACCGCAGUGAUCUACCCAUGUCCAGGUUGAAGCGCAGGUAAAAUUGCGUGGAGGACCGAACCUGUGAGCGUUGAAAAGCUUUAGGAUGAGAUGUGGGUAGAGGUGAAAUUCCAAUCGAACGCGGAGAUAGCUGGUUCUCCCCGAAAUAGCUUUAGGGCUAGCCUCAAGUAGUAAGUAUAGGCGGUAGAGCACUGAUCGGGCUAGGGGCCAUAAAGGUUACCGAACCCUGUCAAACUCCGAAUGGUUAUACUGUAGAGCUUGGGAGUCAGACUACGAGUGAUAAGAUCCGUGGUCAAAAGGGAAACAGCCCAGACCACCAGCUAAGGUCCCCAAUGUCGUACUAAGUGGAAAAGGAUGUGGGGUCUCUAAAACAACCAGGAUGUUGGCUUAGAAGCAGCCACCAUUUAAAGAGUGCGUAAUAGCUCACUGGUCGAGAGACCCUGCGCCGAAGAUUACCGGGGCUAAAGUACGAAACCGAAGCUGUGGCUACGACUUAGGUCGUGGGGUAGGGGAGCGUUCUGUGAGGGCUGAAGUCGUUCUGUAAGGAACGGUGGACUUCACAGAAGUGAGAAUGUUGGUAUGAGUAGCGAAAAGAAUGGUGAGAAUCCAUUCCACCGAAAGCAUAAGGAUUCCUGGGCAACGAUCGUCGUCCCAGGGUAAGUCGGGACCUAAUCCGAGGCAUAGAGCGUAGGAGAUGGACAACUGGCAGAUAUUCCAGUACCGGUAAUGAUUGUUUGAGCGAUGGAGUGACACAGGAGGGCAGGCAGGCAGGAGAUUGGUUGUUCCUGUACAAGCGUGUAGGAUGGGACGUAGGCAAAUCCGCGUCCUGUGAGUCUGAGGCGUGAUGUGGAGGUUCCGGAAACGGAACUGAAGCUGCUGACCCCACACUGUCGAGAAAAGCUUCUAGUUAGAGAAUUACCGCCCGUACCGUAAACCGACACAGGUAUGCGGGGAGAGAAUCCUAAGGUGCGCGGGAGAACCCUCGUUAAGGAACUCGGCAAAAUGUACCCGUAACUUCGGGAUAAGGGUAGCCGCUGUUGUGAAGUCUGCACAGACGGAGCAUGAGGCGGUCGCAGAGAAGAGGCCCAAGCGACUGUUUACCACAAACACAGGUGCCUGCUAAAGAGAAAUCUGACGUAUAGGUGCUGACACCUGCCCAGUGCCGGAAGGUUAAGGAAGGAUGUCCGGAGCAAUCCAAAGCAUUCGACCGAAGCCCCGGUGAACGGCGGCCGUAACUAUAACGGUCCUAAGGUAGCGAAAUUCCUUGUCGGGUAAG